UACGGAGGGGGCAAGCGUUGUUCGGAAUUACUGGGCGUAAAGGGCGCGCAGGCGGCUGCUCAAGUCAGGCGUGAAAGGCCUGGGCUCAACCCGGGAAUUGCGCUUGAGACUGGGCUGGCUUGAGUGCGGGAGAGGAUGGUGGAAUUCCACGUGUAGCAGUGAAAUGCGUAGAGAUGUGGAGGAACACCGAUGGCGAAGGCAGCCUCCUGGGCCAGCACUGACGCUCAUGCACGAAAGCGUGGGGAGCAAACAGG
rnacentral:rRNA from 1 species